rnacentral:ncRNA from 2 species
CUGUCGCCGCAGGGGGAUCCGGUGCGAAUCCGGAACUGUCCCGCAACGGUAUGAAAAGUCCGAGGACCUGCCGACAG